UACGUAGGGGGCAAGCGUUGUUCGGAAUGACUGGGCGUAAAGGGUGCGUAGGCGGUAGUACAAGUUAGAAGUGAAAUACCCAGGGCUUAACUCGGGUGCUGCUUCUAAAACUGUACGACUUGAGUGCAGUAGAGGUUAGUGGAAUUCCUAGUGUAGCGGUGGAAUGCGUAGAUAUAUGGAAGAACACCAGUGGCGAAGGCGGCCGCCUGGCCUGUUGCUGACGCUGAGGCACGAAAGCGUGGGGAGCAAAUAGG
rnacentral:rRNA from 1 species